GUGACCCCCGGUGACCCCCGGUGACCCUUGGUGACCCCCCGGCAGGUGACAGCGGCGAGGAGCCGGCGGUGGCCCUGGAGCGGAACCUCUCGGGGCGCUUCGAGUCGCGCUUCGUCACCGUGCGGGUGGAGCCGGGCCCGGCGCUGCUGCUGCGCGGCAUGGCCGGGGCGCGCCUGGGGGUGUGGGUGGCGCACGGAGAGGGUAACUGGUUUAUACUGGUUUAUACUGGUUAUACUGGGCAUGGCCGGGGCGCGCCUGGGCGUGUGGGUGGCGCACGGAGAGGGUAACUGGUUAUACUGGUUAUACUGGUUAUACUGGGCAUGGCCGGGGCGCGCCUGGGCGUGUGGGUGGCGCACGGAGAGGGUAACUGGUUAUACUGGNUUAUACUGGUUAUACUGGUUAUACUGGUUUAUACUGGUUAUACUGGGCAUGGCCGGGGCGCGCCUGGGCGUCUGGGUGGCGCACGGAGAGGGUAACUGGUUAUACUGGUUUAUACUGGUUAUACUGGGCAUGGCCGGGGCGCGCCUGGGGGUGUGGGUGGCGCACGGAGAGGGUAACUGGUUCUACUGGUUUAUACUGGUUUGUACUGGUUAUACUGGUUAUACUGGGACCACUGGGCUCUCACUGGUGUGUUACUGGUUUAACUGGUGGAACUGGGCUGGAACCGGUCUCUAACUGGUCUAACUGGUUUUACUGGUCCCUAAGUGCUCUCUAACUGGUCUAACCGGUCUCUAACUGGUUUAACUGGUUUCUAACUGCUCUCUAUCUGGUCUAACCAGUCUCUAACUGGUUUAACCGGUCUAACUGGUUUAUCUGCUCUCUAACUGGUCUCUAACUGGUUUAACUGGUUUCUAGCUGGUUUAACUGGUCUCUCACCGGUCUCUAACUGGUUUAACUGGUCUCUAACCGGUCUAACCGGUCUAACCGGUCUCUAACUGGUCUCUAAGUGGUUUAACCGGUCUCUCACCAGUCUCUAACUGGUUUAACUGGUCUCUAUCUGGUCUAACCGGUCUUUAACUGGUUUAACUGGUCUCUAACUGGUUUAUCCGGUCUCUAACUGGUUUAACUGGUCUCUCACCGGUCUCUAUCUGGUUUAACUGGUCUCUAAGUGGUUUAACCGGUUUCUAUCCAGUCUCUCACCGGUCUCUAACUGGUCUGUGUGGUUUCCCCAGGCCGUUUCCAGUUCCGGCCGACCUCGGCGCUGUGUCCGGGCCGGCCCGGCCGCUCCAGCACUGCCCAUGGAGUGACCGCUGACCCUUACUGGUGUCUAACCGGUCUAACUGGUGUAACUGGUCUCUAACUGGUCUAACUGGUUUCUAACUGGUCUCUCACCGGUCUCUAACUGGUUUAACUGGUUUAACCGAUCUCUCACCGGUCUCUAACUGGUCUAACUGGUCUCUAACUGGUUUCUAACUGGUCUCACUGGUCUCUAACUGGUCUCUCACCGCUCUCUAACUGGUCUCUAACUGGUUUAACUGGUCUAACCGGUCUCUGACCGCUCUCUAACUGGUCUCUAAGUGGUUUAACCGGUUUCUAUCCAGUCUCUAACUGGUCUGUGUGGUUUCCCCAGGCCGUUUCCAGUUCCGGCCGACCUCGGCGCUGUGUCUGGGCCGGCCCAGCCGCUCCAGCACUGGCCAUGGAGUGACCGCUGACCCUUACUGGUGUCUAACCGGUC
rnacentral:lncRNA from 1 species